GCAAGUCGAGCGAACAGACGAGGAGCUUGCUCCUCUGACGUUAGCGGCGGACGGGUGAGUAACACGUGGAUGACCUACCUAUAAGACUGGGAUAACUUCGGGAAACCGGAGCUAAUACCGGAUAAUAUAUUGAACCGCAUGGUUCAAUAGUGAAAGACGGUUUUGCUGUCACUUAUAGAUGGAUCCGCGCCGCAUUAGCUAGUUGGUAAGGUAACGGCUUACCAAGGCAACGAUGCGUAGCCGACCUGAGAGGGUGAUCGGCCACACUGGAACUGAGACACGGUCCAGACUCCUACGGGAGGCAGCAGUAGGGAAUCUUCCGCAAUGGGCGAAAGCCUGACGGAGCAACGCCGCGUGAGUGAUGAAGGUCUUCGGAUCGUAAAACUCUGUUAUUAGGGAAGAAUAAAUGUGUAAGUAACUAUGCACGUCUUGACGGUACCUAAUCAGAAAGCCACGGCUAACUACGUGCCAGCAGCCGCGGUAAUACGUAGGUGGCAAGCGUUAUCCGGAAUUAUUGGGCGUAAAGCGCGCGUAGGCGGUUUUUUAAGUCUGAUGUGAAAGCCCACGGCUCAACCGUGGAGGGUCAUUGGAAACUGGAAAACUUGAGUGCAGAAGAGGAAAGUGGAAUUCCAUGUGUAGCGGUGAAAUGCGCAGAGAUAUGGAGGAACACCAGUGGCGAAGGCGAC
rnacentral:rRNA from 1 species